rnacentral:rRNA from 1 species
CCCAUUCCGCCUGGGAACAUGUGGUUUAAUUCGAAGCAACGCGAAGAACCUUACCAGGUCUUGACAUCCUCUGACAACCUUAGAGAUAGGGCUUUCCCUUCGGGGACAGAGUGACAGGUGGUGCAUGGUUGUCGUCAGCUCGUGUCGUGAGAUGUUGGGUUAAGUCCCGCAACGAGCGCAACCCUUGAUCUUAGUUGCCAGCAUUCAGUUGGGCACUCUAAGGUGACUGCCGGUGACAAACCGGAGGAAGGUGGGGAUGACGUCAAAUCAUCAUGCCCCUUAUGACCUGGGCUACACACGUGCUACAAUGGACAGAACAAAGGGCUGCGAGACCGCAAGGUUUAGCCAAUCCCACAAAUCUGUUCUCAGUUCGGAUCGCAGUCUGCAACUCGACUGCGUGAAGCUGGAAUCGCUAGUAAUCGCGGAUCAUCAUGCCGCGGUGAAUACGUUCCCGGGCCUUGUACACACCGCCCGUAAC